CGUGCAAAAUGUGAACAAAAAUAAACAAGUACUCCUUGACUCAUCAUGUGCCAUUUUUGUGGCUCUUUGCCUUUGAGUAUUAUAGCAUUGCAUUUUCAUGUGUUUACGUAUCACUGUUGUCUUUUAAAAACAUAUAAAUAUAAAUGAAAUAAGUCAGUACAACACACUAAUAAAAGAGACUUUGUGUUGACAGUUUCCCUCUGUGUUAGUCUCCAGGCAGAUACAGAGCUUUAGCUGACUGUUUACAAAAUGGACCAGAAAGCAUUGCGAUCAAACGCGGAGACGUAAUUCAACUCCAGUAUGAAGACAACAGGGGGCGCUGGUGAGGCUGGUGAAGAAUCUGAGUCGACGACUGGAGGGCUUUCUCGGCGCUGCCAGCCUGCAGCUGAUCGUCGGAGACAGCAACCGAGGACACUCCUCCAGACUCGGGGACCCAGGGAACCUGAAGGUGAGAAAGCUCAGCUCCCCGUAGAGAAGAAAGCACAGACUGUGAAUCUAAUAUUUACCUGUGGAUGGACAGAGGAAAGGGAUCGACUGAGCCACACCUGUUCCAAACUGAUGCACAUCAGCCUCCCCACGCCUCAGUCCCUGCUCUUUUCUAGCACAGUCCAGUCAUCAAAAACACAAAGUUGGAAAUGUCGCAGUUGUUUUUUUCCAAGGUUUCGAUGGACAAUCCCCUGGGCCAGUGUUUGCCACUGUUGAAUGUGUCCUGUGGCGUCAGCACAAAGGCGGAGGAACAGUUGAGCCCUUCUGGACCAUCAAUCAUCAAUCUUUGGGUCCUGAUUGGUCGUCCUCCUCUCUGAUUAGAGCUCUUGUCCUUCGCUCGCUCCAUCUGCAACACACACGUGGUCAGGAUGUGUUGGUUGCCGCUGCAGGAGUGAGUCACAAAAGACAUUUUUCAUUCCAGCUUGAACCUGAGCUCAUGGCACCGCGGCGCAUGUAUGCUCUUUUCUGUCGUAGUGUGCGCUGGAUGGACAAUCACCGAGGAUUUGCCUAAAACAUUUACAGCGGAGGCUUUUGUACAUCAUUUUUACCACAGUGUCUCAUCUUUUGUGCCGUUGACGUUUUCCAUUGAAUACUUCACUGUGCUUUUCUUACAUUUCACUCCUUGUGGCAGUCUAGAAAGUUCAAAUGCCAAAAUGUGCCAUGCCAUAAUGCCUUUUUUUUAUUCCCGCUCUUUUAGAUAUCUCGUGUGUGUAGUUUUUGCAAAAAAAAAAAAAAAUCAAAUAGUCUCGCUUUAACCUGACCUAUGAAAUAUCACAGGCACUUUAAUAAUGUGGAAGGACAAUAGAGGAACCGAAAGCCACCUAUUGUCUGCUGAAUGUAUUCUAUGCCUACUGCUUUACCUCUUUUACUGUGGAUUUCCACCUGAUUCAUGCUGUUACUUCCUUUGUUUAUGCUUGAAUGACGUGUUUGGGAGGCAGGGGAGACAAUAGUUGACAUGUGAGUGAUCAUAAUGUAAAGACACAGGCAAACAUGAUGAAGAGCGACGGCAAAGUAUUCCUCGGUGCGCGCCGGAAACAAAUCUGAAGCGCGAGCCGCGGAGCGUCAAGCCCUUGUCGUUCUUCUUGGGAUCUUCAGAUUAAGAGAAAACAAAAGGAGAAAAGGGAGAUUAGGCUGUGUUUGCCCCUCUGUUUCCUCCCCGUCAUUACAGCUCAGUUAAUCUUGGUUUCCGCUUUAAAGGGCAUCAUACAGCCAACAUGAAAUAAACCCUCUAUGUCGAACGCUUAAUUAAAUAUUGAUUUCAGACUUAUAUGAAUUUACCACAUCAAAUUGAGGCCCCAGUCGCAGGGCUGCCUUUGAUAUGCUGUGUUUGAUAUGGAAAUGAGUGUGGGAAGCAGCAGGGGCCGCUUGGUACAGCACAUUUCCUAUGUUGUUAAUUUAUUUAUUUUGCUGCCGUGUUGUUCCUUCAUAUUGUGAAGUAUCUGUGCAUCCCCGGAAUUACAUUUUCAUUUCCAUGCAUUUACAGGAGCUGUAAUGUUUGACUGCACAAGAGCAACGCUCUGCUUAUGAUGACAUUUGUGUUAUUUCCUUGAACUUAAAUCCAAAAUGCUGCAGAUUAUGCACAAAUUCUCCAGGUUGGAAAACAAAACAAUAAGAUGCACUGCUCCAAGCCAAGUAGCAUAAAUACGUUUACGCUUAGAGUUUCUUUAAUAGGAAAAUGCAUGGCAACUGAGCAAUAGCCUGUCACUGUUCUGAACUGGCUUCUUUUUGUAUGGCUUCAAUUCUGUACAGUAAAAGAAAUAAAAACAAAUUAUUUAUUGCUAGAA